rnacentral:rRNA from 1 species
UACGUAGGUGCCCAGCGUUGUCCGGAUUUACUGGGCGUAAAGAGCGCGCAGGCGGUCGUUCAAGUCGGGUGUGAAAGCCCCCGGCUCAACUGGGGAGGGUCACUCGAUACUGAUCGACUUGAAGGCAGGAGAGGGAAGCGGAAUUCCCGGUGUAGUGGUGAAAUGCGUAGAUAUCGGGAGGAACACCAGUGGCGAAGGCGGCUUCCUGGCCUGUUCUUGACGCUGAGGCGCGAAAGCUAGGGGAGCAAACGGG